rnacentral:rRNA from 1 species
ACAAGCCCUGGAAACGGGGUCUAAUACCGGAUAUUGACCUUCACGGGCAUCUGUGAGGUUCGAAAGCUCCGGCGGUGCAGGAUGAGCCCGCGGCCUAUCAGCUUGUUGGUGAGGUAAUGGCUCACCAAGGCGACGACGGGUAGCCGGCCUGAGAGGGCGACCGGCCACACUGGGACUGAGACACGGCCCAGACUCCUACGGGAGGCAGCAGUGGGGAAUAUUGCACAAUGGGCGAAAGCCUGAUGCAGCGACGCCGCGUGAGGGAUGACGGCCUUCGGGUUGUAAACCUCUUUCAGCAGGGAAGAAGCGAAAGUGACGGUACCUGCAGAAGAAGCGCCGGCUAACUACGUGCCAGCAGCCGCGGUAAUACGUAGGGCGCAAGCGUUGUCCGGAAUUAUUGGGCGUAAAGAGCUCGUAGGCGGCUUGUCACGUCGGUUGUGAAAGCCCGGGGCUUAACCCCGGGUCUGCAGUCGAUACGGGCAGGCUAGAGUUCGGUAGGGGAGAUCGGAAUUCCUGGUG